GACUUGUCACUCUUCUAGAUGUGGAUGACUGUUUGAUGCUUCGUUAUACCCACUGCAUUCAGUUUUGGUGGAAUAUUUACUUCUGAUUUUCAAGACCAUCAUUAACUCAUGGAAGCAUGAUUGGCUCCUUAUGUUUCUAAGUCAAAGAUGGCCAUAAUUGGUUUUGCAGGUCUCCUUUGUUUAAGUUGUACUUAUCUGAACUAGGGACUCAAUUGAAAGUGGAUUCCUCAGCAAUAAGAUGCAGCAGCUCAAUCCAAGAUAAAGGGAUGCACACAGUCUGUGACCUCCAUGAGAGAAUAUGGUGCCUUUACAUCUUUCAUGUUUGUGCCAACCAUCUAAUGUCCAGCAGUUGAGCAUUACCAUGCUGGUUUCAUGGGUUUCGAAUAUUCUCCUUCAUUGAAUUCCGGUCAUGAAAAGAAAGGGUUGGUAAAUUGAUAUCUUCGUAGCAGCCAGCCAUCCUCAUCAACUUGUACCGCUGAGGUUGCUUAUUAGGAUGGAAGGAAAAAAGUGACAUUAUAGGGAGAUGGAGUGGCAGAGUAUCUUAGUCAUAUACUUCUGUUAUAAAUGAUCCAUCCCUCGAUCUAUUGCCAUUUGAAAAUUUUAAUAUAUCGUUCUUUCGAUAAAUAGUAUUUUUAGUCCCUAAAUUUUGAUUGAUAUUUAAAA